rnacentral:rRNA from 1 species
GACGUAGGGCGCGAGCGUUGUCCGGAUUUAUUGGGCGUAAAGAGCUCGUAGGCGGUCUGUCGCGUCUGCUGUGAAAACUCGGGGCUUAACCCCGGGCCUGCAGUGGGUACGGGCAGACUAGAGUGCGGUAGGGGAGACUGGAAUUCCUGGUGUAGCGGUGAAAUGCGCAGAUAUCAGGAGGAACACCGGUGGCGAAGGCGGGUCUCUGGGCCGUAACUGACGCUGAGGAGCGAAAGCAUGGGGAGCGAACAGG